CCCUAUGGGGUGCAGCAGGCGGCAGAUGACUGGCAAAAUACUUUCGACAGUAUUUCAGAUCUUAUUUUUAUCCAGGACAAGGAUUUCAGGUUUUUAAAGGUUAAUAAAUCUUUUUGCGACGCGAUGAAAGCUAAACCUGAAGAUUUUAUAGGCAAAAAAUGUUACGAAGUUUUGCACAAGUCUCCUCAGCAUUGGCCGUCAUGUCCGAUGGCGGAAACUUUGAAAGAUGCUAAGUUUCAUAUGCAAGAAGUGUACGACCCCAAUAUUGGUAUUCCGCUUUUAAUUACCACCUCUCCGAUUUUUGACCGAAACGGAAAUUUGACCGCGAUUGUGCACAUUGCCAGGAACAUAUCAGAACUUAAAAGAAAUGAAGAAGCGUUGCAAAAAAGCCGGGAUUUACUCAAUGAAACCGGAAACAUAGCCAGAAUUGGCGGGAGGGC
rnacentral:rRNA from 1 species